rnacentral:rRNA from 1 species
AGUGAACGCUGGCGGCGUGCCUAAUACAUGCAAGUCGAACGGAGUGGCGCACGGGUGAGUAAUGUAUAGCUAAUCUUCCCUACACUAGAGGACAACAGUUUGAAACGACUGCUAAUACUCUAUAGUGUAGGAUGAGGCUAUAUUGUAUCAGCUAGUUGGUGAGGUAAUGGCUCACCAAGGCUAUGACGCAUAACUGGUCUGAGAGGAUGAGCAGUCACACCGGAACGGAGACACGGUCGAGACUCUUACGGGAGGCAGCAGUAGGGAAUAGUGCUCAAUGGGGGCAACCCUGAAGCAGCAACGCCGCGUGGAGUAUGACAAUUGUCGGAGCGUACACUACGUUUGUUAGGGAAGCGGUACCUAACGAAUAAGCACCGGCUAACUCCGUGCCAGCAGCCGCGGUAAUAC